AUUGAACGCUGGCGGCAGGCCUAACACAUGCAAGUCGAACGAGUGGCGGACGGGUGAGCAAUGUCUGGGAAACUGCCUGAUGGAGGGGGAUAAAUACUGGAAACGGUAGCUAAUAACGCAUACCAUCGGAUGUGCCCAGAUGGGAUUAGCUAGUGGGUAGGGUAAAGGCUCACCUAGGAGACGAUACCUAGCUGGGCUGAGAGGAUGACCAGCCACACUGAGACUGAGACACGGGCCAGACUCCUACGGGAGGCAGCAGUGGGGAAUAUUGCACAAUGGGAGAAAGCCUGAUGCAGCCAUGCCGCGUGUAUGAAGAAGGCCUUCGGAUUGUAAAGUACUUUCAGCGGGGAGGCGUUACCCGCAGAAGAAGCACCGGCUAACUCCGUGCCAGCAGCCGCGGUAAUUC
rnacentral:rRNA from 1 species